ACUUUAUUUAUUCUGUACUAAAGUAAAAACAAUCAAUAAGAGCAAUAAAGUAUAAAGAAAAGCGUCGCCAUUCGAUUCAUGAGUUUAAUAAAUUUUAAAUAAACUGAUAUACUCUAACCUUGCUUUGGGCAACGUGGCCAUAGAUAAUAUGUUCCGGGUAUCAAAAGGAGUGCCAAAAAUGAAAGCAGGAAAUAGAAAAACGUCCCUCCACUUUCGUCAUAUUGAAAUUUCUGUCCGCUCAUAGCUCAUUAAGUACAAAUAUUUAAAUUAAUCGAGUUAUACUUUGAAUUCACGGUUCCAUCAUGUACAUCAUUAAAGUGUAACAUUUAUCUUCGUCAAGAGUGCCAACUCAGCAUAGACCGCGGAUGAAUAAUUUUAAGUCCGGCAUACAAUAGACGUUCUCGGUAACGUUGACGAUUCACCAAAAAUGAGUAUACUUGUCAUUCUUUCUACCAGUUUUCACCGUUAUUUUUCACUCCCUCUUCUUCUUUUCAUUCCUUUCCAUUUUUUAAGCUCUCACUCUCUCACUCACUCUCUCUCUCUCUCUCUCUCUCUCUCUCUUUCUCUCUCUCUCUCUCUCUUUCUCUCUCUCUCUCUCUCUCUCUCUCUCUCUCUCUCUCUCUCCAACUAAAUUGUUAUAUUAGUAAUUACGAAGCUCGUUCUUCCUUCCUAUUAAUAAGUUUCUUUUUUAUUACAAUAAAUAAUAAUCUAUCUUUCUUCGUUAAUACUAAGCCAAUAAUAGUAUAUAUGUUAGUACUAUUGAAAAGACAAAACUCUUGUACGUAUUUCUUAAUUUAAAAUAUAGUUAGGAAAAUAUACUUACUUAAAUUGAUGACGUAGAUUAAUUAAUUAAGAAGAAUGCACAUCUAAAUAAUAAUUAUUUUAAGACGAGCAUAAACUAUAUUUUAUUGUUUUAAAACACAUUCGCAGCAAAUACGUUAAAAGUCAUAAAAACAAUAAUUAUAUAUACGAAGUAUUAAAAUUUUUAAUAUAGAAAAUACUAUAUUAUUAUGUAUUAUACUAAUAUUUAUCAAGGCUGUAAAAACAAUCACAGUAUUAAAAAAACUAAUAUUUCUUUCAAGAUAUUUAUUCUGAUUUAUUUAGAAUUUAUAUAAUAUCAGAUUUUGUCAAUACUCCCAAACUCUAAUAUUAAAAACUCGCACAUGGAAAAUCAGGCAACGCAAUAAUAUGUGGAUAUAUCUUUACAUGGUAUAUAAUAUGUGCAAUAUUAUGUAUCUACUAAUGUAUACAUAUAUAUUAAGGUUAUAUUAAAUCUGUAAGAACAGUCGUCACUAUAUUAGAAAACUGCAAUAUCGACAUAUGUAUUCUUUUCGCCAACCAAUACGUUUAUUACAGAAGUUUAUUUAGAACUUGUAUCAUAAACAACAUCAUUAUAGCGUUCCAUGCUGACAGUUGCAUACAGCAGAAUAAGCAGUUUAAUAAGCACUGCCGAUAGCAAAAGAUUUCUGCUGGAUGUAUUUUUUCAAUUAUAUGUUUAAAGCAAGUGAUAAAUUUUAAUCGCUAAAAUGAACUUUUGCGGAAAAGAGAAGAAAAUGAUUAGAAAAAUAUUACGUGACUGCGAACGUCACUGAUAACGAUCAGAAUCUUGUUUCGGAAGAAUUCGAUGUUGAAACAGACUCUUUUAGCGCCGAUAGUGAGGUAACUCAACGCAGGAAGAAGGCAACUCAACGCGUUUGAUAGUGUCAUAUGAGGAGACACUAGAAAAUAUCGAUGAUUCUGCUGAUGACGAUGGUGCAAGUUGUUCACCAAUAACGAAAGAUAAUGAGAGGAUUAUCGCCGAUGACGAUAUGUGGUAUGAUAAUAAAGAGAAAUUGAUUGAAUUUGCAUUUAACGAUGGUGAAUGCAACAUUAAAAUGAAUGCUGAUAAGUAUUCUAGUGCGAAAGAUAUUUUUGAUCAGCUGUUCUCAAGAAAUAUAAUUGAGACACUUGUUAGUUGCACAAAUGAAUAUGGGAAACAUUUAUUUGAAACCAAGCACUCUAGUAAUUUUGUUUUACGAUUGAUGCAACCAUGUUUGGGUAAAGGGCAUUAUCUCUUUAUGGACAAUUUUUACAACAGUAUCGAGCUGUCAAGAGCUGCUAACAUAUAAAACACACACGACCGGAACGCUUUAUUCUAACAGAAAAGGUAAUCCGAAAGAAGAGAGAUCAAAGAAGUUAAAAAAGGGCGAACAUCGAAAUGGCGGGAUAAAUGGAACGUUCUUUUUAUAACAACAAAUUAUCAUCCCGAAAUGGUGGAAGUUACCAACAAAUUUGGACAAAAAAAAGAAUAAACCAAAUGAUAUAGCUGAAUAUAAUUUGAAUAUGUCAGGAGUUGACAGUGUGAUCAAAUGAUUUCCUAUUAUUUUUAUACCAUCAUCGAUUUUCGAUAAGAUGGUAUAAAAAACUUAUUUUUCAUCUUUUAGACCUCUGUGUUUGGAAUUCCUACUUCAUCUAUCAAUAGUUUCAUAAAUCAACGACAUUCCUACAAUUUAGAGAUUUGCUGCUACAAUCAUUGAUCACAUUACCUAAUACUGAGAUUUCUGGAAAGAAUUUAGUGGCAUUAACAUCUACGCGUGCUCGACCGAAACAAAUAAAUUCAUUAUCAUUGACAUCCAUAGGUUCUACACAAUAACAUUUCUUGGAAAAGAUCCCUCAACCUAUUGAUUUUCAACGUAAAACUUAUUUUCUACAUUGCAGACAAUGUUUGGCUAACAACAUUAGAAAAGAGACGUCAUAUAGAUGUAAAAUUUGUCCGCAAAACCCACCAUUAUGUCCAGAAUGCUUCGAAUCCUUUAAUUUACAGUAAAGCUGAUUCCUAUAUAAUGCUUUUUCUUGAACCAUUUUUGAAUUAGUAAAGCAAAUAAAAAGUAUAGUCGUCACAACGGUCAUAGCCGCCAUUUGCUUUGGGAAGAGAAAAAAUGUGAUAAGUAAAUGACAGUUACAACCGUUGAGAGUUUUCAAGAAAAAACUGUGACAAAAUGUGAUAAUUUUCGCUUCCAAAUAUACGAAUGACGCUCAAUUUUAUAUGGCAGUCAUGAACAAUUGAAAGAAAAAAAAGUGUUUCUGAGCACGAUCGUCAAAUUAAAAGUGUGCGGCAACGUGUUAAUUAUUAAUGAUCGAUAUUCAUAAGCAAAGUUCUGUGUGUGUUCUUAAAAAAGUUAUUUAAAAUAAUGAUUCGAAGAAUUUCUCUAAUAUAUUUCUGUCGAGAUCAUUAGAUAAAAGUAGUUUUUUCAUUGUAAAAACAAUAAAAAGUUUUAAAUUGAAAUAAUUAAAUCCUUAUUUGCUCAAAAACUUCAUGUUGAGGAAUGUUUUUUGUAUAAAAAGUUAGCAAAGUUUAAUAACUUAGUAAUGAUUAAUGAAGGAUGAUAAAAAGCUCAAUAAGUUUAAAAGAAGCAAAUGCCUUUCAUCUACAUAUAUCGACAUUAACUACGUUAGUGCACCUCGAACGACGCACCCAGGACGAGCGUGGAAUGGGAACUAGUGCAACAACGUGGUGACCGUCAACUGGCUUUAAAUUGUAUUACUAUUCUAUUGUAUAGAAAAUAUUAUAAGAUAUGAUAUUUAGGAGAUAAUGGAUAUAAAAAAUUUAUAGAAUAUAAAAAAUAUCGAUUAAUUCUUUGUUUAGGUUCGAAAUUUAAUGUGAAAUAAUAAUAUAUAUAGUCAGUAAAAGGAAAUAAAAAUAAUAAUAGAAAAGAGUAGAUAUAGUGACUGUUACUUUGUAUACUUAGCACCCUCUGUCUUCUCAGAUAAAUGCCUGCCAGGACUUACACGAAACGUCCACGCGGUUUGCUUAUGAUUAAAAGAAAUAAAAAGAAAAAAUUCACUUAUUUUAAAAAGCUUCGCUAUCCUACACUUAAGUAUUUGAUAAAAUCCGUUCUGAAAUACAUAUUUACUUUUUGGAUUAUUCUAUACUUCUAGAAAUUACUGUUAUGAAUAAACUAACAUUCGAUAUCAACUAAGCACUGAAUAAUAAUGCUUGCAUUACUAGGAUGUGUUUAGUGAACUUAUAGAAAAUAUUUGAUACCAUAUAGCUAAACGCCCUGAUAUUUAUAUUACAUAAAAAAAUUUCCCACUAAUACAUACUUUUUACAGCACUAAUUAAUUUUUUCUAAAUACAAACCGAGAAAAAAAUCAACAGAUACAGGAAGCUAUGGGCUAAAUAUGAAUACUUUUAUAAAUAUGUAAACCGUUAGAAAAGAUAAUUUUAAAAUAGAAUUCAAUAAACAUGAAACAAUCGAACAUAUUAGUAUAAAUCGUCAAUUUAGUUCGAGAGAGACACAUAAUAAUAUAUGGUUUAAUAGUUUAACAAGCAAGGAAAAUAGUUAAUGACAUUAGCAUAACCAAAGAAAUAUAAUUAUAUUUUUAUUACUAAACAUUCAGAAAUUCUUUAGAUCGACGAAUUAAUAUAUACGUAUAAAAUAAUAAGAUAUAAAUGUACUCAUUUGUAAGAUUAAUUUACUCAUAUUUAAAUAAUAAAUAUUAAAAAGUCGUGAAAAAAUCAAGUAAACGCAAAAUAACGAUAGAAGUCCAUCGAUAGGACCAAAGCUAUUUAAUAUAUAUAUAUUAUAUGCCGGAUUCAGAUAUAACCAGGAAGCAAUUUGUCUUUGUCUUCAAAUACACUGAAUAAUACCGAAUUAUAACAAAAUGACUAAAUAUUAUAUAAAAAAAAUCAAUAUCUUUUCAUAAGAAAAGAAAACUAAAUUGAGCCAACUAAGAAAGAACUAUAUAGUACUUACUAUUAUUGUUAUAUAACUAGUGAGUAGAUCUUUAUUGUUACACAGAUUUUUGUACAAUUUAUUUUAUAUUAUCAAAUAAACUUACGUAUAUAGUAUAAGAUUCUUAUUUAAUUACCAAAGUCAAACGACGGAGAAGAAAAAGUUCUCUGCAGUCUUGAUAGAUUUUAAUGAUAACAGCCUUUUUAUAGAUUUUUUUUCAAUUUAAUACAUUGUACCUUUAAGAAUAGUUAUUAAAAUCAAAUAGUUCCUAUUGUAGGAUUCAAGUGAGGAUACAUGAGAAUAACGAAAUUUUCAUUAGUAAGAAACACUUUCGAGUAGUUUUACUCUCAAGUAGAUGGAUGCCUUUAAUAUAGAACUGACACAAAUUAAAUAUUAACCCUUUGUAUUUUUAAGAUUAACUUUUAGGCAUUUAAAGAUGUUCUAUCUCUGUAACCAGCAUCACUAGUCUCAUCGUUAUUUUA